rnacentral:rRNA from 1 species
UACGAAGGAUCCUAGCGUUGUCCGGAUUUACUGGGUUUAAAGGGUGCGUAGGCGGGUUGGUAAGUCCGUGGUGAAAUCCCCAAGCUUAACUUGGGAACUGCCGUGGAUACUAUCAAUCUUGAAUAUCGUGGAGGUAAGCGGAAUAUGUCAUGUAGCGGUGAAAUGCUUAGAUAUGACAUAGAACACCAAUUGCGUAGGCAGCUUACUACACGAUCAUUGACGCUGAGGCACGAAAGCGUGGGGAGCAAACAGG